AUUGAACGCUGGCGGCAGGCUUAACACAUGCAAGUCGAGCGGGGGAAGGUAGCUUGCUACUGGACCUAGCGGCGGACGGGUGAGUAAUGCUUAGGAAUCUGCCUAUUAGAGGGGGACAACAUCUCGAAAGGGAUGCUAAUACCGCAUACGUCCUACGGGAGAAAGCAGGGGAUCUUCGGACCUUGCGCUAAUAGAUGAGCCUAAGUCGGAUUAGCUAGUUGGUGGGGUAAAGGCCUACCAAGGCGACGAUCUGUAGCGGGUCUGAGAGGAUGAUCCGCCACACGGGGACUGAGACACGGCCCAGACUCCUACGGGAGGCAGCAGUGGGGAAUAUUGGACAAUGGGGGGAACCCUGAUCCAGCCAUGCCGCGUGUGUGAAGAAGGCCUUAUGGUUGUAAAGCACUUUAAGCGAGGAGGAGGCUACUUUAGUUAAUACCUAGAGAUAGUGGACGUUACUCGCAGAAUAAGCACCGGCUAACUCUGUGCCAGCAGCCGCCGUAA
rnacentral:rRNA from 1 species